CCUACGGGAGGCAGCAGUGGGGAAUAUUUCGCAAUGGGCGAAAGCCUGACGCAGCGACGCCGCGUGAGGGAUGAAGGUCUUCGGAUCGUAAACCUCUGUCAUCAGGGAGGAACGGUCACUGUGCUAAUCAGCAGUGAAUUGACGGUACCUGCAAAGGAAGCACCGGCUAACUCCGUGCCAGCAGCCGCGGUAAUACGGAGGGUGCGAGUGUUAAUCGGAAUUACUGGGCGUAAAGCGCUCGUAGGCGGUAUGUCAAGUCAAGGGUGAAAUCCCCGCGCUCAACGUGGGAACUACCUUUGAAACUGGCAAACUGGAGUGUGUGAGAGGAUAGUGGAAUUCCAGGUGUAGGAGUGAAAUCCGUAGAUAUCAGGAGGAACAUCAGUGGCGAAGGCGACUAUCUGGAACAUAACUGACGCUGAGGAGCGAAAGCGUGGGUAGCAAACAGGAUUAGAUACCCGAGUAGUC
rnacentral:rRNA from 1 species